UCAACGACCGUACGAUGGUGGGUACCAUAAAGUCAUUUCCGAACGUGUCUCGAAUGUUUUUUUACUUAAAGAGAGGCGAAAUUCGAAAAUAAAAAGGCAUAAAAUGGGAGAAAAGAAGCCACUUACCAGAGAGUUUAAACUAUCAAAAAAUGGGAGCGAGACCUUUCGUCGACUCAUUCUCUCUUCUUUUUUCUCUUUUCUGUUGAGGGAUAGACUAUCAAUUCAGGUCACUCGCAUUAGAUGUCCUCAAUGGUAAGCAACCAUUCGUUCUUCCAUUACCUAAGCCGACGAUACUAGGAAUUUAUUUCUCAUCUCCAUUGGGACAAAACUACAGUUUUAUCUAAAACUCUGCUUGCAUUCCUCUUAAAAAUUGUGAUAGGUGGAAAACAGUUUAAAAUUAUAAAACGCCAUAUUUUGUAGAACAAACAACAGGCAGAAAACUAAACGUCGGCUGUCGCCAUAUCAUGUGGGAAAAAACCAUCAAGAGCCUAGGUUUCCAUGACAGCUGCUGUGUCUACAUACGUACUACUGGAUUCACACAGGCUAACAGUAAUGAAUGUAAGGCGUGUUAUUCAUUAAUCCGGGCUCUUGUGGCUGUCAGGUGUUUUUACCUAUUACCCAUUUUCGAUAGGAAUUGUGCAGGUGAAAGAUAAAAUUUCAAGGUUCUUUUUGAUGAAACCAUGCAUCUAACGAUCAAAGUGUCAAAGCCUUCAUGGUCAAGGACGUGAACGAGCAUUAACAGACCAACAAUUUCGCAAUUCAUUCAAUCGAAAAAAGCAAUUGCCGCGUUGUGGGCAAGAUGGCAAAAACAACAUACUGUAGGCUUUACAAAUUUAGAAUAAAAUUGGUAUUACAGUA